AAUACUUAGAUGGGUUAAAUACUUAAGUCAGAGCUAGCCAGCAAGAAACAAACAGCCAACAGCUUCAUAAUUAAUACAGCGUCUUGUGUGUUAUUUGGGGACUAUAAUGCGGCAGAGUCCAGGCGACUGAUUGGGAAAAAACCAAAGCAGCUGGCAAGGAAAUGACUUCACUCUACACAUUGGAAUAUCUCUUCAUAGUUCAAGAUGCAACUGUCAAGCAAUUCUUCUGGAAAUAAUGCAUCAAUGAAAACUGCUGAAGAAGGGCUCAGUGAAGGUUCCCUGGAAGUACUACAUCAACAAGCCAUCCAGGAACUGUUACUCAAGAAUGUCCCCGUCACCAGGAUGCUAUGUCUGCUCAUGGUUCAAGUUCCAAAGCAAACGAAAGCUACAAUGACUGGGAAAACAAUAUCUUUCUAUCCUCAGCCUGGCAUUGAUGAUAUUUAAAUUCUAGGUCUUCUGGGGUGUUCCAAAGAACACUACAGAAAUAGAAGAGGCUGGACUUUGAUGACCCCCACUGGAGGCCUUACCCUCUCUGAGGAGUGGAUGGGGGGUGGGAUGGGGAGACAAUGGGGAGAAUGGGAGGACAGGAUGAAGAGGAACUGGUGUGUAAAAUAGGACUGUUUUAAUUUAAAUAAAAAUUAAUUUCAAAAAAUUAAAAAAUAAUAAAUAGAAUAGGCUGUAGCAAAAGAAGGCCAAAGGUGUUUAGGAAAAUUUAUUUUUAUCCAAAUGAUCAAUAUGUUCUUGAAAUAGAACAAAAUCUACCAUUGGGUACUUCUGUCUAACAUGCUAGCUGCUUCCCUUUUUAUCUGGAUGACCUAGCAUUGAGAAGGCAUCAGUUUCCCUGUUAGACCUCCUCACCUGCUCGUUCUUUGAACUGGGAUAUUAAUUGGCUCCAUGAUUUUCAAAACUUAAUAUACUGAAAACUACCUCAAAGAUCCUGGUAAGCUCUGAUUUUUUAAUUAAAGACAAAAUUUUUCAUACAAUAUAUUAUAAUCUAGGCUUUCUCUCCAUUAUAUCCUCUUAGAUUCUUUCUACCUCCACAACCUUUAAAUUCCACAACUCCAUUCUCUCUCUUAUGAAAACAAACACGAAAAUAAAAGAGAAAAACAAGGAUACAGCAAGACAAAGAGACAGAAUAAAAAAGUAACUAAGAAAUACUACAAGAAACACACACACACACACACACACACACACACACACACACACACACACACCAAAAUCAAGAACCAUAAUAUAUAAGGAAAAGACCAAUAAGGUGGACAAUACCCACACAAAGCAAUAUGAAAAACUCCAAAAAUAUAUUUCAGUUAAAUAUAUUUCAGUUAGUUGUGCGCUGGCUAUCUGCUUCUGGGUGUGGAGCCUAUUUCUAUGUGUGGGUUGUAUAACCAGUGAGAUUCCCUUCGAGAAACUAAUUUUCCUUUAUUAGCAGUUGUUAAUUGGAGAUAACCUCACAGCUGGGGAUGGGAGCUCAUGUCUACUUGCUCAUCUCAGCUCUGGAACCUCUUCUGGCUUGGGUCUGUUCAGAACCUGCCUCUGUGAGUUGAUAUAUGCAUCAGCUCAUAUAUGCAUGUUUGUUUGGUAUCAUCCAUCCCCUUUGGCUCUUACAAUCUUUCUUCUCCUCUUCAGCACUUCCCUGAACUCUGAGGGGAGACAGUUGAUAAAGAUCUCCUAUUUAGACUUAAGGAUUCCAAGGUCUUACUUCCUUCACAUUGUCUAGUUGUGGGUCUUUGUAUUAUUUCCCAUGUAUUGCAGAAGACAUCUCUAAAGAUUACUGGAUCAUAUACUGAUCUGUGGAUACAGUGGAAUGUCAUGAGGAGUCAUUUUAUUGCUAUAGUCCUUUAACAGAAUAAUAGUAUUUUGUUUCACCUAGGUCCUUUGCCUAUCUAGUCAUAUAUUCUUGGUUACCUGAGCAGUAUAAGGAGUGGCUUCCAUAUAAUGCAGUGGCCUUAAAUUCAACCAAAAAGUUGUAUUCUCUACAUUAAAAUUCAUUGAAUCUGG